rnacentral:rRNA from 1 species
UACGGAGGGUGCAAGCAUUAAUCGGAUUUAUUGGGCGUAAAGGGCGCGUAGGCGGUCGUAUAAGUCAGAUGUGAAAUCCUGAGGCUCAACCUCAGAACAGCAUUUGAAACUGCACGACUCGAGGAUAGGAGGAGAAAACGGAAUUCCACAAGUAGCGGUGAAAUGCGUAGAUAUGUGGAAGAACACCGGUGGCGAAGGCGGUUUUCUAUCUUACUCCUGACGCUGAUGCGCGAAAGCAAGGGGAUCAAACAGG